rnacentral:rRNA from 1 species
ACUCCUACGGGAGGCAGCAGUGGGGAAUAUUGCACAAUGGGCGCAAGCCUGAUGCAGCCAUGCCGCGUGUAUGAAGAAGGCCUUCGGGUUGUAAAGUACUUUCAGCAGUGAGGAAGGUGGGUAUGUUAAUAGCAUAUUCAUUUGUACGUUAGCUGCAGAAGAAGCACCGGCUAACUCCGUGCCAGCAGCCGCGGUAAUACGGAGGGUGCGAGCGUUAAUCGGAAUUACUGGGCGUAAAGCGCAUGCAGGUGGUUUGUUAAGUCAGAUGUGAAAGCCCGGGGCUCAACCUCGGAAUUGCAUUUGAAACUGGCAAACUAGAGUACUGUAGGAGGGGGUUAGAAUUUCGAGGUGUAGCGGUGAAAUGCGUAGAGAUCUA